rnacentral:rRNA from 1 species
AGAGUUUGAUCAUGGCUCAGAUUGAACGCUGGCGGAAUGCUUUACACAUGCAAGUCGAACGGUAGAGGGGGCAACCCCUUGAGAGUGGCGAACGGGUGAGUAAUAUAUCGGAACGUGCCCAGUCGUGGGGGAUAACGUAGCGAAAGUUACGCUAAUACCGCAUACGAUCUAAGGAUGAAAGCGGGGGAUCGCAAGACCUCGCGCGAUUGGAGCGGCCGAUAUCAGAUUAGGUAGUUGGUGGGGUAAAGGCUCACCAAGCCAACGAUCUGUAGCUGGUCUGAGAGGACGACCAGCCACACUGGAACUGAGACACGGUCCAGACUCCUACGGGAGGCAGCAGUGGGGAAUUUUGGACAAUGGACGCAAGUCUGAUCCAGCCAUUCCGCGUGCAGGAUGAAGGCCCUCGGGUUGUAAACUGCUUUUGUACGGAACGAAAAGGUUUCCAUUAAUACUGGGGGCUCAUGACGGUACCGUAAGAAUAAGCACCGGCUAACUACGUGCCAGCAGCCGCGGUAAUACGUAGGGUGCAAGCGUUAAUCGGAAUUACUGGGCGUAAAGCGUGCGCAGGCGGUUAUGUAAGACAGAGGUGAAAUCCCCGGGCUCAACCUGGGAACUGCCUUUGUGACUGCAUAGCUAGAGUACGGUAGAGGGGGAUGGAAUUCCGCGUGUAGCAGUGAAAUGCGUAGAUAUGCGGAGGAACACCGAUGGCGAAGGCAAUCCCCUGGACCUGUACUGACGCUCAUGCACGAAAGCGUGGGGAGCAAACAGGAUUAGAUACCCUGGUAGUCCACGCCCUAAACGAUGUCAACUGGUUGUUGGGUCUUCACUGACUCAGUAACGAAGCUAACGCGUGAAGUUGACCGCCUGGGG